GGGGCCAAUCACAGGGCCCCGCUCCUGGCAGUCCCGAGUACCCGGAUAAAGUCCCAAACUGGCCGGGCUGAGGACCGUUCCCAGAGUGCACAGCAACCUGCACCAUGCCCAUGAUAUUGGGAUACUGGGACAUCCGUGGGCUGGCUCACGCCAUCCGCCUGCUCCUGGAAUACACAGACUCAA